rnacentral:rRNA from 1 species
CCUACGGGUGGCAGCAGUGGGGGAUAUUGCACAAUGGGGGAAACUCUGAUGCAGCGACGCCGCGUGAGUGAAGACGGUCUUCGGAUUGUAAACCUCUGUCUUUGGGGCAGAAAAUGACGGUACCCAACUAGUAAGCUCCGGCAAACUACGUGCCAGCAGCCGCGGUAGUACGUAGGGCGCUGGCGUUUUCCGGAAUUACUGGGGGUAAAGGGGGCGUAGGGGGGCGAGAAAGUUGACUGUUAAAUCUACCGGCUAAACUGGGAACUGCGUUUAAAACUUUGUGUCUUGAGUGAAGUAGAGGUAGGCGGAAUUCCUAGUGUAGCGGUGAAAUGCGUAGAUAUUAGGAGGAACACCAGUGGCGAAGGCGGCCUGCUGGGCUUUAACUGACGCUGAGGCUCGAAAGCGUGGGGAGCAAACAGGAUUAGAUACCCUAGUAGUC